UACGUAGGGUCCGAGCGUUGUCCGGAUUUAUUGGGCGUAAAGAGCUCGUAGGCGGCUCGGUAAGUCGGGUGUGAAACUCGGGGCUCAACCCCGAGACGCCACUCGAUACUGCCAUGGCUUGAGUCCGGUAGGGGAGUGUGGAAUUCCUGGUGUAGCGGUGAAAUGCGCAGAUAUCAGGAGGAACACCGGUGGCGAAGGCGGGUCUCUGGGCCGAUGACUGACGCUGAGGUGCGAAAGCGUGGGGAGCAAACAGG
rnacentral:rRNA from 1 species